GCGCCCGUAGCUCAGUUGGAUAGAGUGGCAGACUUCGAAUCUGUUGGCCGUAGGUUCAAGUCCUACCGGGCGCACCA
rnacentral:tRNA from 1 species